rnacentral:rRNA from 1 species
UGGGGAAUAUUGCACAAUGGGCGCAAGCCUGAUGCAGCCAUGCCGCGUGUAUGAAGAAGGCCUUCGGGUUGUAAAGUACUUUCAGCGAGGAGGAAGGCGUUGUGGUUAAUAACCGCAGCGAUUGACGUUACUCGCAGAAGAAGCACCGGCUAACUCCGUGCCAGCAGCCGCGGUAAUACGGAGGGUGCAAGCGUUAAUCGGAAUUACUGGGUGUAAAGCGCACGAAGGCGGUCUGUCAAGUCGGAUGUGAAAUCCCCGGGCUCAACCUGGGAACUGCAUCCGAAACUGGCAGGCUAGAGUCUUGUAGAGGGGGGUAGAAUUCCAGGUGUAGCGGUGAAAUGCGUAGAGAUCUGGAGGAAUACCGGUGGCGAAGGCGGCCCCCUGGACAAAGACUGACGCUCAGGUGCGAAAGCGUGGGGAGCAAACA